GGAUGUGAGGGCGAUCUGGCUACGACAUCUGUCACCCCAUUAAUCACCAGGGUUGAUUCAGCUGAUCUGGCUGGCUAGGCAAGUGUCCCCUUCCUCCCUCACCACUCCAUGUGCGUCCCUCCUGAAGCUGCAUGCUCAGAGAAGAGGACGACCUUCUCCAAUUGAGGAGAGGACCGUUCUUCAGUCAAGGGUAUACGAGUAGCUGCACUCCCCUGCUAGAACCUCUAAACAAGCUCUCAAAAAUCUCAUAAUUGUUGUAAUUUCCAAUUAUCAGAUUCUGGAAUUCCAAAAAGUUU
rnacentral:snRNA from 1 species